rfam:Pan troglodytes isolate Yerkes chimp pedigree #C0471 (Clint) chromosome 12, whole genome shotgun sequence.
AUCCUUUUGUAGUUCAUAAAUGUGAUAAUUGGGUGUUCACGUGCAUGUAUGAGAUGUCUGAGUCCGUCAAACCUUGUUACAACAUUGGUACAUUACCCAUUUUACA